rnacentral:tRNA from 1 species
AGCCCCGUGGUGGAGUGACACAUUGGAUUGCAAAUCCAAAGACGCAGAUUAAUAGUCUGCCGGGGCUU